UGAACCUAGGAGAGAAUUCUAAUACCUGUGCACAAAGAUGCAAAUACAAGGAAAGCGACCUUUGAAAACCCUUGGUUAGCAUUGACAAAAAAGGAGGCGCUGUCCGCUGAAGAAAAGGUGAUCAUCACUAAUUUUUAGCUCACGACUUCUUCGUCGGAAUGACAUAUGGAAGUCAUUGCAAAAGUAGAUUGCAAAAACCAUCUAAAAAUGUUUUUGCACCUAGGAAUUUUCAGUGGGCCCAUUUUUGAGAGUUAUCUAUUGCCUUUACCACUUAAGCAGCAUAGGUUCCCAAUCUUUGAUUGGCUGAGCGACCAAAAUUCUGCAUACCCCAUAAGCCAAUCAGAAUUCGAGAAUAUGACAACAAACGUGCCUCGCAGCUAGAUUUAGGCCUAUUUUGGACGUUUUUACCACUACCUACAAAAAACAUUGUGUUAAACUUUCAUUUUCCUUACAUUUUCUUUUAUCCUUUCGAAUCUUUUUCAGACAACCAGAGAUUUUUUUCACCCAGAAAAGAUAAUUUUUCGAAAAUGAUGUAUAUAUCAUUUUCCCGCCCUUUUCAUCCUUGACGAAUUGCGUCAGCUUUUACAAGGCCGUAGCAGUGAACAUCAGUGGACAUGAGCUUCUCGUCGAUCUUCAAGCAUUUAAAAUGAAUAUUCAAAGUACCUGAGUGCAAAAGAAAUCGUACAAUUGUGGUUAUUUUAAGAGAAAGGUAGAUUCCAUUUUCUCUCAGUUUAAUUUAGCAAUUUAUUUCGUCGUUAACACAAACAUCAAUGCCGACAAGAAAAGAUUUUAACAUUGGGUUGUGAAAGUAAGUUCAUAUUUUUUAAUUACGUUGAUAAAACAACUAAAUUCAUCAAAGAUUCAAUUUUUAAAAGAAAAUUAAGGUUAUCUUUCAGCACAUUUUACACUAUUAUUUUUUGUGGGUAGUGGUAAAAACGUCUAAAUAGGCCUAAAUCUAGCUGCAAGACACGUUUGUUGUCAAAUUCUUGAAUUCUGAUUGGCUAAUGGGGUAUGCAGAAUUUUGGUUGCUCAGCCAAUCAAAGAUUCGGAACCUAUGAUCACUUAAGCUGGAGUGCUCAAACAAUUUGGUAACUGAGCCUCGGAAAACACGAAGACAAUAUCUGAACCAUAGAGCUAAAUUCUGAUCGAACAAAAUUUUAUUAGAGUUGAUUUCACGAAGGAAGUUGUAGAAUUUGAUGUCGCUAGAAGUUCCUAUUUUAGCUUAUUUGUAUUAUUCUCAUUUGGAUGUAAAUUGUCAUGCUUCAGUUUUGUAUUUAAGUCCUUUUGUGCUUCUUUGAUACCAUUGGGAAUAAUAGAGAAGAAAUAGUUCUGUAGUUUGGGCUUCUGCACGAAAGUGUGGGUCCCUUGACUCAGAUGGGUGUAUUUAGUUGCUUUGGGUCUGGGUUAUCGUGCUUAUAUUGUUAUGCUGUUUCCACGCUGUUCUCUUCUCGCCAGUGUGUUUUGGCUCAGGCUUGCUGAUGGAAAGGUGACUGACGAAGUAUGAGUUCCUUUACUGGCUACCAGGUGAAAUUGUAGAGAAAACACGAAAAAUCAAUGAGGAAACCUGGCCUGUGUUGAAGGGCUGCUAUUCUUGCAAAUAAUUGGUGUGCAUCAAAUUGACAAAGCUGGCAGACUCCAUGCUCUGAGCUAAAUAAACGCUCCCGUACGAUCCGGCUUUUGCUGGUGCGAAACUGCAUUAAAAAGUCCCAGAUGAGAG